AUUGCACACUAUUAAACCCUGGCGUUGUGGUUGGCGUUCAGGUGUCGGACGUGUGCUAGAGUGAGCAGGCUGGGUUUUCGCUAACACCAUGAGGGCCCUGUCCCUAUGACUGGGGUUUGAUAGUCACCUGAGCCACAUUG
ensembl:snoRNA SNORA62 Small nucleolar RNA SNORA62/SNORA6 family